AAGUCGUAACAAGGUUUCCGUAGGUGAACCUGCGGAAGGAUCAUUACAGAGAACUUGCCCUUCGGGGUAGAUCUCCCACCCUUUGUUUACAUUACCCUUGUUGCUUUGGCAGGCCCGUCUCCCGGGACCGCCGGCUUCGGCUGGCCCGCGCCUGCCAGAGGAUCUCAAACUCUUGUUUAAAUUGUCGUCUGAGUAAUAUUUAAUAAGUUAAAA
rnacentral:misc_RNA from 1 species